rnacentral:rRNA from 1 species
UACAGAGGGGGCAAGCGUUGUUCGGAAUUACUGGGCGUAAAGGGCGCGUAGGCGGCCUUCUAAGUCGAACGUGAAAUCCCCGGGCUCAACCCGGGAACUGCGUCCGAUACUGGAAGGCUUGAAUCCGGGAGAGGGAUGCGGAAUUCCAGGUGUAGCGGUGAAAUGCGUAGAUAUCAGGAGGAAUACCCAUAGCGAAGGCAGCUCGCUGGGACGUUACUGACGCUGAGGCGCGAAAGCGUGGGGAGCGAACAGG